UAAAGUUUUCCCUGAUAUGAAGAGUGAUUUCUGCUGUUUUAUAGGAUAAUACUCAGUGGACUAUUUUCUGUUUAAUAUUACUGCCAUGAUAUUGUUAUCAAGGACAAAAUAAAAAUAUUUCGCGAAGCAGAUUAAAAACCAAAAUCAUAUAUACAUCUAAACUCAUCCGCUGCCCAGUAUUAUACUCAUUGAAAAUUAGAGAGUGUGCUUAUUUUUCUACAUAAGAACUGAGGUGAAAAAACAAAUGACAACCACUGUUUCCCCUACCAAUAAUAAAAUGUAGAAGAACAGGGUUAAUUGAAGCUUCUGAAUGACUCAGCUGUAUCAUGGUCUAUAAAAUAUAGAAACUGAGUAAUCAUCCUUGGUUUCUCACAAAAUCAGCACAGCAUCUUGUCUUGUUAUUUACUUGCUUGAUAACUGGAAAGAGGAGGAAAGGCUUCGGAUGACCAUCUCAUUCUCUUCCUCGUCGAUAGUGGCCAUUUUCUCCAUUGGUCGCCUAACAAGGGAAAUGAAAUGUGGUGGAAUAACUUCCGUCACAACCCUCAUUUUUGGUACAUUAGUCAUCGCAGAUUCUAAGACUGAUGGGAGAUGCUGGAAGCUAGAAACGACGGGUGUUUAUGAGUUAUU
rnacentral:lncRNA from 1 species